rnacentral:rRNA from 1 species
GACAGAGGGUGCAAACGUUGUUCGGAAUUACUGGGCGUAAAGGGCUCGUAGGCGGCCAACUAAGUCAGACGUGAAAUCCCUCGGCUUAACCGGGGAACUGCGUCUGAUACUGGAUGGCUCGAGUUUGGGAGAGGGAUGCAGAAUUCCAGGUGUAGCGGUGAAAUGCGUAGAUAUCUGGAGGAACACCGGUGGCGAAGGCGGCAUCCUGGACCAACACUGACGCUGAUGAGCGAAAGCCAGGGGAGCAAACGGG